rfam:Ictidomys tridecemlineatus contig076288, whole genome shotgun sequence.
UAGCUCAGUUGGUAGAGUGCUUGCCUCACAUGCACAAGGGCCUGGGUUCAAUCCCCAG